rnacentral:rRNA from 1 species
GGGUUGUGAGGUUAAGCGACUAAGCGUACACGGUGGAUGCCCUGGCAGUCAGAGGCGAUGAAGGACGUGCUAAUCUGCGAUAAGCGUCGGUAAGGUGAUAUGAACCGUUAUAACCGGCGAUUUCCGAAUGGGGAAACCCAGUGUGAUUCGUCACACUAUCAUUAACUGAAUCCAUAGGUUAAUGAGGCGAACCGGGGGAACUGAAACAUCUAAGUACCCCGAGGAAAAGAAAUCAACCGAGAUUCCCCCAGUAGCGGCGAGCGAACGGGGAGCAGCCCAGAGCCUGAAUCAGUGUGUGUGUUAGUGGAAGCGUCUGGAAAGGCGCGCGAUACAGGGUGACAGUCCCGUACACAAAAAUGCACAUACUGUGAGCUCGAUGAGUAGGGCGGGACACGUGGUAUCCUGUCUGAAUAUGGGGGGACCAUCCUCCAAGGCUAAAUACUCCUGACUGACCGAUAGUGAACCAGUACCGUGAGGGAAAGGCGAAAAGAACCCCGGCGAGGGGAGUGAAAAAGAACCUGAAACCGUGUACGUACAAGCAGUGGGAGCACAGAGCAAUCUGUGUGACUGCGUACCUUUUGUAUAAUGGGUCAGCGACUUAUAUUCUGUAGCAAGGUUAACCGAAUAGGGGAGCCGAAGGGAAACCGAGUCUUAACUGGGCGUUAAGUUGCAGGGUAUAGACCCGAAACCCGGUGAUCUAGCCAUGGGCAGGUUGAAGGUUGGGUAACACUAACUGGAGGACCGAACCGACUAAUGUUGAAAAAUUAGCGGAUGACUUGUGGCUGGGGGUGAAAGGCCAAUCAAACCGGGAGAUAGCUGGUUCUCCCCGAAAGCUAUUUAGGUAGCGCCUCGUGAAUUCAUCUCCGGGGGUAGAGCACUGUUUCGGCAAGGGGGUCAUCCCGACUUACCAACCCGAUGCAAACUGCGAAUACCGGAGAAUGUUAUCACGGGAGACACACGGCGGGUGCUAACGUCCGUCGUGAAGAGGGAAACAACCCAGACCGCCAGCUAAGGUCCCAAAGUCAUGGUUAAGUGGGAAACGAUGUGGGAAGGCCCAGACAGCCAGGAUGUUGGCUUAGAAGCAGCCAUCAUUUAAAGAAAGCGUAAUAGCUCACUGGUCGAGUCGGCCUGCGCGGAAGAUGUAACGGGGCUAAACCAUGCACCGAAGCUGCGGCAGCGACGCUGAUGCGUUGUUGGGUAGGGGAGCGUUCUGUAAGCCUGCGAAGGUGUGCUGUGAGGCAUGCUGGAGGUAUCAGAAGUGCGAAUGCUGACAUAAGUAACGAUAAAGCGGGUGAAAAGCCCGCUCGCCGGAAGACCAAGGGUUCCUGUCCAACGUUAAUCGGGGCAGGGUGAGUCGACCCCUAAGGCGAGGCCGAAAGGCGUAGUCGAUGGGAAACAGGUUAAUAUUCCUGUACUUGGUGUUACUGCGAAGGGGGGACGGAGAAGGCUAUGUUGGCCGGGCGACGGUUGUCCCGGUUUAAGCGUGUAGGCUGGUUUUCCAGGCAAAUCCGGAAAAUCAAGGCUGAGGCGUGAUGACGAGGCACUACGGUGCUGAAGCAACAAAUGCCCUGCUUCCAGGAAAAGCCUCUAAGCAUCAGGUAACAUCAAAUCGUACCCCAAACCGACACAGGUGGUCAGGUAGAGAAUACCAAGGCGCUUGAGAGAACUCGGGUGAAGGAACUAGGCAAAAUGGUGCCGUAACUUCGGGAGAAGGCACGCUGAUACGUAGGUGAAGUCCCUCGCGGAUGGAGCUGAAAUCAGUCGAAGAUACCAGCUGGCUGCAACUGUUUAUUAAAAACACAGCACUGUGCAAACACGAAAGUGGACGUAUACGGUGUGACGCCUGCCCGGUGCCGGAAGGUUAAUUGAUGGGGUUAGCGCAAGCGAAGCUCUUGAUCGAAGCCCCGGUAAACGGCGGCCGUAACUAUAACGGUCCUAAGGUAGCGAAAUUCCUUGUCGGGUAAGUUCCGACCUGCACGAAUGGCGUAAUGAUGGCCAGGCUGUCUCCACCCGAGACUCAGUGAAAUUGAACUCGCUGUGAAGAUGCAGUGUACCCGCGGCAAGACGGAAAGACCCCGUGAACCUUUACUAUAGCUUGACACUGAACAUUGAGCCUUGAUGUGUAGGAUAGGUGGGAGGCUUUGAAGUGUGGACGCCAGUCUGCAUGGAGCCGACCUUGAAAUACCACCCUUUAAUGUUUGAUGUUCUAACGUUGACCCGUAAUCCGGGUUGCGGACAGUGUCUGGUGGGUAGUUUGACUGGGGCGGUCUCCUCCUAAAGAGUAACGGAGGAGCACGAAGGUUGGCUAAUCCUGGUCGGACAUCAGGAGGUUAGUGCAAUGGCAUAAGCCAGCUUGACUGCGAGCGUGACGGCGCGAGCAGGUGCGAAAGCAGGUCAUAGUGAUCCGGUGGUUCUGAAUGGAAGGGCCAUCGCUCAACGGAUAAAAGGUACUCCGGGGAUAACAGGCUGAUACCGCCCAAGAGUUCAUAUCGACGGCGGUGUUUGGCACCUCGAUGUCGGCUCAUCACAUCCUGGGGCUGAAGUAGGUCCCAAGGGUAUGGCUGUUCGCCAUUUAAAGUGGUACGCGAGCUGGGUUUAGAACGUCGUGAGACAGUUCGGUCCCUAUCUGCCGUGGGCGCUGGAGAAUUGAGGGGGGCUGCUCCUAGUACGAGAGGACCGGAGUGGACGCAUCACUGGUGUUCGGGUUGUCAUGCCAAUGGCACUGCCCGGUAGCUAAAUGCGGAAGAGAUAAGUGCUGAAAGCAUCUAAGCACGAAACUUGCCCCGAGAUGAGUUCUCCCUGACUCCUUGAGAGUCCUGAAGGAACGUUGAAGACGACGACGUUGAUAGGCCGGGUGUGUAAGCGCAGCGAUGCGUUGAGCUAACCGGUACUAAUGAACCGUGAGGCUUAACCUUACAACGCCGAAG